rnacentral:rRNA from 1 species
UACGUAGGGGGCAAGCGUUGUCCGGAUUUAUUGGGCGUAAAGAGCGUGUAGGCGGCUUUACAGGUCCGUUGUGAAAACUCGAGGCUCAACCUCGAGACGCCGGUGGAAACCGCAUGGCUAGAGUCCGGAAGAGGAGAGUGGAAUUCCUGGUGUAGCGGUGAAAUGCGCAGAUAUCUGGAGGAACACCGGUGGCGAAGGCGGCAUCCUGGACCACGACUGACGCUGAGGAGCGAAAGCCAGGGGAGCAAACGGG